GGGGAUUAGCUCAGUUGGCUAGAGCGCUUGACUGGCAGUCAAGAGGUCAGGGGUUCAAGUCCCCUAUUCUCC
rnacentral:tRNA from 1 species